rnacentral:rRNA from 1 species
ACCCGCACAAGCGGUGGAUGAUGUGGAUUAAUUCGAUGCAACGCGAAAACCUUACCUACCCUUGACAUGUCUGGAACCUUGCUGAGAGGCGAGGGUGCCUUCGGGAGCCAGAACACAGGUGCUGCAUGGCUGUCGUCAGCUCGUGUCGUGAGAUGUUGGGUUAAGUCCCGCAACGAGCGCAACCCUUGUCAUUAGUUGCCAUCAUUUAGUUGGGCACUCUAAUGAGACUGCCGGUGACAAACCGGAGGAAGGUGGGGAUGACGUCAAGUCCUCAUGGCCCUUAUGGGUAGGGCUUCACACGUCAUACAAUGGUCGGUACAGAGGGUUGCCAAGCCGCGAGGUGGAGCCAAUCCCUUAAAGCCGAUCGUAGUCCGGAUCGUAGUCUGCAACUCGACUUCAUGAAGGCGGAAUCGCUAGUAACCGCGAAUCAGCAGGUCGCGGUGAAUACGUUCCCGGGCCUU